UUGGGAAUAUUGGACAAUGGGCGCAAGCCUGAUCCAGCCACGCCGCGUGAGUGAUGAAGGCCUUCGGGUCGUAAAGCUCUUUCAGAGGGGACGAAGGGCAACUUGACGGUACCCUCAGAAGAAGCACCGGCUAACUCCGUGCCAGCAGCCGCGGUAAUACGGAGGGUGCAAGCGUUGCUCGGAAUUAUUGGGCGUAAAGCGCGUGUAGGCGGCUAUUUAAGUCUGGUGUGAAAUCCCGAAGCUUAACUUCGGAACUGCGCUGGAUACUGGAUAGCUAGAGGACGAGAGGGGAUGGUGGAAUUCCUGGUGUAGGGGUGAAAUCCGUAGAUAUCAGGAGGAACAUCGGUGGCGAAGGCGACCAUCUGGCUCGUAACUGACGCUGAGACGCGAAAGCGUGGGGAGCAAACAGG
rnacentral:rRNA from 1 species